UUAGAAAAGCCAAAAACUUUAAUUUCAACAUGAGCUACAUGGUCAUGAACACAAUGCAACGCGACCCCACUCCAACCCAGGGGCCCCAGAAACCCUCCCUCCCUAAAGGCCUGGGCAGCUCCUGCUCCAAGAGAAGGAAAUGAGGGAAAGGUGGGUGGAUGGAGAGAGGCCCCCAGCCUAAGGACCCGGGCUCCUGCCUUCCCGCCACCUGCCCAGGAAGCAGUCAUAGAGUGAAAGGGCUCCAGAGGUGAUGCCCACAGCCCUGGGUUUGGCUCCACUCUGACCUCCCUGAAGCACUGGGUUCAGUGGGCACCACUGGCCCACCUCACAGGCUCGGCGUCGGGUGAGCUCGUGGACGCUAAUACUUUCCGUCCACUCUGAGGUGCCGCUCCAGACGUGGGGCCCUCCCAGAGGGCCUCGGAGACACCAUGGGGGAACAGGGAGCGGGGCUCGGUCCCUGGGCCUGAUACAGCGCUGCUGCUCAAUAAAUAAACGCAGGUAGCCUUGCCUGACGCAACAGCUGUGCCUCCAGAGGGGCUGGGACUUGGUGCUGUUUCUGACAUGGAAAUGCACCCAGGAGCUCCUGGCUGAAGGGAAUUGGCUUGUGAAGUGCAUAACCACCCCAAGAGCCAUCUGCUCCACCUCUGGGUGUAAAAGAGUGAGCUCUGGGCUACUGGAGAACCGAGUUCCAGUCCUGCCCACCCACUAAUACAGUGGGACCUUAGGUGAGCACAUUCCCCUCCCAAGACCUCAGCUCCCUGCUUUGAAAUGGGGAGGACAGCACAGGCCACCACCUACUCCUCAGGGGCUCUUGUGAGGGCAGAAGCGCACACUCGAGGUAAAAGCAUUCUGAAAACAAAGUCUGAAAAGCACAAUAGGAAGGCCAGGUCUCAUUGCAUCUGAAGGUUUGCUGGCGACUUCCCUGAAAUGAGGCACCCACAGCUGCUCCCCUUCCCUCACUGCCCCAGGCAGGAGCUGGUGUUUCCUAACUCGCCCACCAGUUGGUCCUGAAGAGGCGAUGGCCCCUUCCCGGGGGCCUCCACCCAGGCAUCAAGGUCUAGACCCAAUCCUGUGUACCCUCAGUCAGCUGGGCCAGUCCCCCAGGAGAGCUAAGUCUCCCUGGCAACCCUCUCCCCAAGACCCAGGCCCAGGAAGUCACUGGCUUAUAGAGGUGGAGCCCAGCGGGGCUAUGCAGCCCAGGGCUUAGAGGCCAGGAAUCCUUGUCCCAGCAGACAUGCACUGGAGCAACGGUGUCCUGUUGCCUGAAGAACAAUGGAGCCCCUAGUUCUUCCCCCUUUGCGCCCUUGCUGAGGGGUCUUGUGUGAGUCACUUCCUGUUUCUGGACCUCAGUUUCCCAACCUCUCAGAUGGGCUACAGCUUGUCCUGCCCAUCUUUUGGGGGCCAUUAGGCUUCAAAGAAAGAAGGGAGGAGGAGGUAUGGGCAGUGGCAGCCCUACCUCAUACUGCCCUGGCUCCAGCUCAGCCUCUAUUGGGAGGAGGGGACCCAGGCUGGGGGUGUCACUGAACACACAGGUGACUCCAGGGGUGGCUUUUCCCCCCAAGCUAGGUCUUGAUUUCCUUGUCUGUAAAAUGGAAAUGGACUAAUGGUCCCAAAGGCCCUUCCCCUUUACUAUGCAAAGGGGGUUCUGGAGAAGGAGAGUGGAGAGGGCUCCUUCCUUUCCAUGGUAUCCUGCAUGUGAUCUUGGCCCAGAGAUUGAAAAGAGUCACUCCCUGGAGACCCCAGCCCCCCUAUGGCCCCCAGUGCCACCCUCUCUGCUCCUCUUCAAACAGUGCGGCCUGAGUCAGCAAGGGGUCAGGCGGUAGUGGGGACAGGAUGGGCUUGAAGCUUCUCCAAAGCUAAUGAUGAAAAUGUCAGUCUCCUCCCCAAACCCCCAUCCCUUGGUGAGGACAGACUGUAGUUCCCACUCCCAAUGGUCACAGCCCCUGGGAAGGGGGCACAUGCUCACGAUGAUACAAAGAAACAGGGCUCCAGCCCCCAGCUGCUCCACCCCUCCAGGAGGUGAGCGGGAUUUCACAGAACAAACAAGAAAAUCAUUGAGGGGGCCCUCACUGACCACCCCCAGGUGUUGUUAUUGCUUCGGAGCUCUCUCUCUCUCUUUAUAAAGGCUGUGCAGACACCAGGGGAAGGGCUCAGGCUGUCAGGGCCAAGCCCCUGCUCCCUCUGGUUGGGACAGCCAGGCUCUGCCCUGUUUUUGAAAAGCUACCCCUGAACAACCACAGCGGUGAUGGCUGGAGAGAGAAGGCGCUCUCCUGGCUCAAAAUAUUCCAAUGGUGAGUAAUAAACGAACAGCAGAGAAAUCACACUGGUUAGAAAAACAAAACAGGCAAGGGGCCAAUUCUGUGCCUCGAAUGUGAGUCCCUCCGGAGCCCUGCUCCUUCUGCCCCCAGCCUUGGGAUUCCACCCACCACGGUCCCAGGAAGCUCUGAAGACUUCCUGGGUAAAGGGAGCAUCUCCAUCUCCCCUUCCCAGUGCAGGGUAAGCAGCUCUGUGGAGGUGAUCUACAUCGACCAGAACUUUAAAGGAUACCCAGGGCUUACACAGGCUAAGGGAAGGGAAGAAUUUCCAGGUGGAAGGAGUUGCCUGGUGGGACUGGGACUGGGACCGGGACUGGGAACAGGGUGGGACCAAAGGCAGCCUGGGUGUCCUCAGGGGAAAACACCACCCUCUGAUGGAGGCCAGGCCCCCUCUGCCAAGGUCCUACAACCCUUAGGAGUGCCUCAUAAAGAAAGUCAGUACCAAGAAUAAUAAAUCAGAACAGCAGAGUCUAACAGGCAGCUCCAGCUAUAACCCUACAGGGCACAGGGGAUGGAAGGGGGCGGAGGAGGAGGGGCUGGCCUCCUGUGAGCCAGGCUGCCCCAUCUAGGCCCAGGCCAGCGAGGAGACAGUGGUCUCCUGGAAUGUACUUGAGUCUCCUCUCCACCCCCGGUCCUGGGACUCUGUAAGGACUAUGCAUGAGCUAAGAACAGGCCCC
rnacentral:lncRNA from 1 species